ACAGAAAGAGAAAUCAGAUACAGAUAGAGGAGAAGAUGUCUGAGUAUAGACAUGAUAAAGCGAAUACAGAAGGACUCCCACCGAACAUCCCCCUCUCUCUCGCGAGCUCCUUGUUCGCGAACUCCAGGAAGGAGCGACGCCAACCCCUCUCCCUCUACCUCUCGUCUGGUUCACACGCUUAGGAGGCGGAACCCUCUGCUCUCCCGCCUCUCUUGACCGAACGAACCAAGGAGGAAGCCUAAGCACUCUCCGUCGACCUCCUGCCCUAGCCAUCGGCCGGCCCUCUCUCUACAGCAUCUGAUAUAUCACAAUGUAUGUUUAUAUUUUUUUUCAUGGUAUCAUAGUUGGGGGACAUUUAUUGGAGGGACUAUAGUUAGGCGACGGUGCUCAGAGGGAUAUUAGUCGGGCGAUGGAGGUCAGAAGUAUUGUAGUCGGCGAGCGAUGGAGGUCGGAAAGACCUUAGUCGGGAAGCGUUGGAGGUCGUGCUCAAUUGGCAAUGGUGGUCAGGGGGACCAUAAUCGGCGGGCGACGAAGGUUGGGCGGAUCGUAGUCGACGAGCGAUGAUGAUUAGAGGUAGACCCAAGAGUGGUGGCUGUGGUCAAUGAGCAAUGGUGGUCAUAAUGAUCGUAGUCAGCAGACAACGGUGCUCAGGGGGACCAUAGUAGGCGGGCGACAGAGGUUAAGGGGACCGUAGUCGACGGGCGACGAGGGUUGGAGAUAGACCCAAUAGUGGUGGCCGAAUGGAAGUCCGACGACAAAGAUUGGGUGGAGAUUUAGCAAUGAAGGUCAGACAAUGAGGGUUCGCCGACGAUGGUGUCCGAGGUGGAGCUCCUCGAUUCUUUAAGCCUUAUAGCUCUCUUGAUCUCUAGCCUAAGGUUCAAGCAUCCAAAUGUCCAAACCCCCCUUCAUGUGAGAAUAUGGAGUCUAUUUAUAGAUUUUGUGAUAGGCAUGCCCCAUAAAUAUGGAGAAGAUUUAGGAUAACUUAGGAGUGUCCUAUAUCAGAUGGCUCAUGCAUAUUGAUUUCCUCGUUUAUAAAGCAUUCAUUCAGCAUUGAAUUUCCUCGAGUCGCUUGAUUCGACCAUAAGCAUGCUAUAUUUAGAUAUCAUUUUGUCAUCUAAUAAAUGCACUAAAGUUUCUAAAUAUGCUUCAGUCUAUUGAUUAGACCGGUUUUAGUCUCGUUGCGUUUUGUCUCCUUGAUAUGUUCAAUUUGACUACAUUUUUACUGAAAUUAGAAUUUGAAUGGUCCCAAAUUUAAUUUUAAAAGUUUUCCAUUCAUAUAUGCAUCAAAAUUCGUACCUGGUCAAUGCGAUUUUUGUGGACAUAUCAAGACUAAAACAAUGGCACUUACGAGCCGUGAUUUUAGGGCUACGGAGAGGAAUAAAAACCCUAAUGCAAAAUCAGCAAUUGACAGAACAACGAAAAAAAAAAAAAGAGAAGAAAUUUUGCUUUCGGGUUUAGAGAAGAUAAAAAAGUAGAAAGAUUGAGGAAAAUAAUUAGUAAAACUGUGAUAUUUUUAAUGAUAAAUUGUGAAAUUUUUUUUUUUAAUUAAGAAACAUGACGAAAAGUUUUUUUAAAAAAAAGGGAAAAAAAACUAAGCUAUUCAAUGUAG